UGGCAAGACUAAUUUGUCACGAAAUUUAGCUCAGCUGGCCGAGUGCCUUCUCAGUUUCAAAAGGACGCGUUUCCAGGAUUUAGUAGCCUCUCAUCCUCUGUGUGGACCCACUCCUCGCGGCUGUACAGUGAACAGUUUAAGCAGAGCGGUGUUCCAGGGAAGCCUCGGAGUUGAACAGACUGAAAUCCACAUGAGGCGGUAUGGGAAGGACAUCUCUGCAGUUGCUAAGAGCAACAAGAGGAGAGAUCUUUGGCUAGCCAAAAUUGGCAAAGGUGGUCAUUGCAGGCAUUGGCAUGUUGGAGAAGCCCUGGG
rnacentral:lncRNA from 1 species